AAAUUGAAGAGUUUGAUCAUGGCUCAGAUUGAACGCUGGCGGCAGGCCUAACACAUGCAAGUCGAACGGUAACAGGAAGAAGCUUGCUUCUUUGCUGACGAGUGGCGGACGGGUGAGUAAUGUCUGGGAAACUGCCUGAUGGAGGGGGAUAACUACUGGAAACGGUAGCUAAUACCGCAUAACGUCGCAAGACCAAAGAGGGGGACCUUCGGGCCUCUUGCCAUCGGAUGUGCCCAGAUGGGAUUAGCUAGUAGGUGGGGUAACGGCUCACCUAGGCGACGAUCCCUAGCUGGU
rnacentral:rRNA from 1 species